CCGGCGGCAGCUUACCAUGCAAGUCGAGCGGUAGCACAGGGGAGCUUGCUCCCUGGGUGACGAGCGGCGGACGGGUGAGUAAUGUCUGGGAAACUGCCUGACGGAGGGGGAUAACUACUGGAAACGGUAGCUAAUACCGCAUAACGUCGCAAGACCAAAGAGGGGGACCUUCGGGCCUCUUGCCAUCAGAUGUGCCCAGAUGGGAUUAGCUAGUAGGUGGGGUAAUGGCUCACCUAGGCGACGAUCCCUAGCUGGUCUGAGAGGAUGAUCAGCCACACUGGAACUGAGACACGGUCCAGACUCCUACGGGAGGCAGCAGUGGGGAAUAUUGCACAAUGGGCGCAAGCCUGAUGCAGCCAUGCCGCGUGUGUGAAGAAGGCCUUCGGGUUGUAAAGCACUUUCAGCGAGGAGGAAGGUGGUGAGCUUAAUACGCUCAUCAAUUGACGUUACUCGCAGAAGAAGCACCGGCUAACUCCGUGCCAGCAGCCGCGGUAAU
rnacentral:rRNA from 1 species